CCUACGGGAGGCAGCAGUAGGGAAUAUUGGACAAUGGACGCAAGUCUGAUCCAGCCAUCCCGCGUGAAGGAUUAAGGCCCUAUGGGUUGUAAACUUCUUUUCUUUGGGAAUAAAAAGCGGUAUUCAUAUCGCCUUGAAGGUACCAGAGGAAUAAGCACCGGCUAACUCCGUGCCAGCAGCCGCGGUAAUACGGAGGGUGCAAGCGUUAUCCGGAUUCACUGGGUUUAAAGGGUGCGUAGGUGGCUUUGUAAGUCAGCGGUGAAAGCCUGGAGCUCAACUCCAGAAUUGCCAUUGAUACUGCAGAGCUUGAAUCAAGUUGAGGUGGAUGGAAUAUUACAUGUAGCGGUGAAAUGCUUAGAUAUGUAAUAGAACACCGAUUGCGAAGGCAGUUCACUAAGCUUGUAUUGACACUGAGGCACGAAAGCGUGGGGAUCAAACAGGAUUAGAUACCCUGGUAGUCCACGCCCUAAACGAUGCAAACUCGACAUUAGCGAUAUACAGUUAGUGUCCAAGCGAAAGCGUUAAGUUUGCCACCUGGAAGUACGACCGCAAGUUGAAACGUUAAAGGAAUUGAGGCGNGAGAGNGCGAGACGACGACGAGGAGGAGG
rnacentral:rRNA from 1 species